GAUGAACGCUGGCGGCGUGCCUAAUACAUGCAAGUCGAGCGAACAGAUGAGGAGCUUGCUCCUCUGACGUUAGCGGCGGACGGGUGAGUAACACGUGGAUAACCUACCUAUAAGACUGGGAUAACUUCGGGAAACCGGAGCUAAUACCGGAUAAUAUAUUGAACCGCAUGGUUCAAUAGUGAAAGACGGUUUUGCUGUCACUUAUAGAUGGAUCCGCGCCGCUUUAGCUAGUUGGUACGGUAACGGCUUACCAAGGCGACGAGGCGUAGCCGACCUGGGAGGGUGAUCGGACACACUGGAACUGAGACACGGUCCAGACUCCUACGGGAGGCAGCAGUAGGGAAUCUUCCGCAAUGGGCGAAAGCCUGACGGAGCAACGCCGCGUGAGUGAUGAAGGUCUUCGGAUCGUAAAACUCUGUUAUUAGGGAAGAACAAAUGUGUAAGUAACUAUGCACGUCUUGACGGUACCUAAUCAGAAAGCCACGGCUAACUACGUG
rnacentral:rRNA from 1 species